GGCCUGAUGGUCUAGUGGUAUGAUUGUCGCUUCGGGUACUUCAAACGCCUGGAUUCAAGUUGGAAUCUUUCAAUGUGACAGGCCCCGGGUUCGAAUCCCGGUCAGGCCC